GCGCUUGUACCUCAGUGGUUGAGCACUCGUUUUUUAAAUGAUAGGUCGGUGAUUCGAUCCCACUCGAGCACA
rfam:Phytophthora infestans T30-4 supercont1.33 genomic scaffold, whole genome shotgun sequence.